UACGUAGGGGGCAAGCGUUGUCCGGAAUCAUUGGGCGUAAAGAGCGUGUAGGCGGUUCAGUAAGUCUGCUGUGAAAGUCCAAGGCUCAACCUUGGGAUGCCGGUGGAUACUGUUGGGCUAGAGUACGGAAGAGGCGAGUGGAAUUCCCGGUGUAGCGGUGAAAUGCGCAGAUAUCGGGAGGAACACCUAUUGCGAAGGCAGCUCGCUGGGACGUCACUGACGCUGAGACGCGAAAGCGUGGGGAGCAAACAGG
rnacentral:rRNA from 1 species